rnacentral:rRNA from 1 species
UACGUAGGGAGCAAGCGUUGUCCGGAAUUACUGGGCGUAAAGGGCGCGUAGGUGGGCGCUUAAGUCAGGUGUGAAAACUCCGGGCUCAACCUGGAGACUGCACUUGAAACUGGGUGUCUUGAGGGCAGGAGAGGAAAGUGGAAUCCCUAGUGUAGCGGUGAAAUGCGUAGAUGUUAGGAGGAACACCAGUGGCGAAGGCGGCUUACUGGACGGCAACUGACGUUGAGGCCCGAAAGCGUGGGGAGCAAACAGG